rnacentral:rRNA from 1 species
UACGUAGGGCGCAAGCGUUAUCCGGAAUUAUUGGGCGUAAAGAGCUCGUAGGCGGUUUGUCGCGUCUGCCGUGAAAGUCCAGGGCUCAACCCUGGGAUGCCGGUGGAUACUGUCGGGCUAGAGUGCGGAAGAGGCGAGUGGAAUUCCUGGUGUAGCGGUGAAAUGCGCAGAUAUCAGGAGGAACACCAAUUGCGAAGGCAGCUCGCUGGGACGUAACUGACGCUGAGACGCGAAAGCCAGGGGAGCAAACGGG